rnacentral:rRNA from 1 species
UGAUCAUGGCUCAGAUUGAACGCUGGCGGCAGGCCUAACACAUGCAAGUCGAGCGGUAGCGGGAAGACUUGCUCUUUGCCGACGAGCGGCGGACGGGUGCGUAACACGUAGGAAUCUGCCCGGUAGUGGGGGAUAGCCCGGAGAAAUCCGGAUUAAUACCGCAUACGCCCUAAGGGGGAAAGCAGGGGAUCUUCGGACCUUGCGCUAUCGGAUGAGCCUGCGUCGGAUUAGCUUGUUGGUGGGGUAAAAGGCCUACCAAGGCGACGAUCCGUAGCUGGUCUGAGAGGAUGAUCAGCCACACUGGGACUGAGACACGGCCCAGACUCCUACGGGAGGCAGCAGUU